rnacentral:rRNA from 1 species
UACGUAGGGGGCGAGCGUUGUCCGAAGUUACUGGGCGUAAAGCGUACGUAGGCGGCCUGUUAAGUUACAUCUGAAAGGUGACAGCUCAACUGUCAACGGUGGUGUAAGACUGGCAAGCUUGAGGCAAGCAGAAGAGUGUGGAACUCCGAGUGUAGCGGUGGAAUGCGUAGAGAUUCGGAAGAACACCCAUGGCGAAGGCAGCACUCUAGGCUUGAGCCGUAAAGGAUUAACCCUGACGCUGAGGUACGAAAAGCCAGGGGAGCCGAACGGG